rnacentral:rRNA from 1 species
AUGUGGAAGCUGAAGGUGUCAGAGGGUGGUGGGCCGUGGUUGCGGUCGGUGAACAACUUCCUUGGCAGGGCAGUUUGGGAGUUCGACCCAGACCAUGGCACGCCGGAGGAGCGCGCCGAGGUCGACAGACUGCGCCAGGAGUUCACCCAGCGCCGCUUCCACAAAAGGGAGUCACAGGAUCUUCUUAUGCGCAUGCAGUAUGCAAAGGAAAAGCCUCUUCAGGAGCAUCUUCCGGCUAUCAAGCUGGUAGAUAUUGCUCAAGUCUCAGAAGAGACUAUUUUAACAUCAUUGAGGCGAGCCCUUAGUCAGCACUCUGCUCUGCAAGCACACGAUGGGCAUUGGCCUGGCGAUUACAGUGGAAUUAUGUUCAUUAUGCCCAUCUUGAUAUUUGCUCUGCAUGUUACUGGAUCACUCAAUACAGUCCUUUCAAGAGAACAUCGACGUGAGAUUUGUCGCUAUAUUUACAACCAUCAGAAUGAAGAUGGUGGUUGGGGCACACAAGUGUUGGGGCCGAGCACCAUGUUUGGAUCAUGCUUAAACUAUGUUACCUUGAGGCUUCUUCGUGAGGUGGACAAUGAAGCCUUGAUCAAGGGACGUGCUUGGAUUCUAUUGCAUGGAAGUGCAGCUGCCAUACCACAAUGGGGAAAGAUAUGGCUCUCGGUGGUCGGUUUGUAUGAAUGGUCUGGAAAUAAUUCGAUCAUUCCUGAACUAUGGCUUGUCCCACAUUUUCUUCCAAUUCAUCCAGGACGAUUCUGGUGCUUUUGUCGGUUGAUUUAUAUGCCAAUGUCUUAUCUUUAUGGUAAAAAGUUUGUUGGCCCAAUUACACCAACAAUAUUGGCAAUAAGAGAGGAGCUCUAUACCACACCAUACCAUGAGGUCGAUUGGAAUAAAGCACGUGAUACUUGUGCCAAGGAAGACCUUCGUUAUCCAAGGUCGUUGCUGCAAAAUGUUAUUUGGACAUGUCUAACUAAAUUUGUGGAACCAGUGUUGAAUAGUUGGCCAGUUAAUAAGUUAAGAGAGAAAGCAUUGGAAAACCUCAUGAAACAUAUCCAUUAUGAAGAUGAAAGUACAAAAUAUAUCGGUAUAUGUCCGAUUAACAAGGCACUAGAUAUGAUUUGUUGUUGGGCCGACGAUCAAAAUUCAGAUGCAUUGAAGUUGCAUAUCCCAAGGAUCUAUGAUUAUUUAUGGCUUGCAGAAGAUGGAAUGAAAGCACAGGUAUAUGAUGGCUGUCAAAGCUGGGAGACAACUCUUAUUGUCCAAGCAUAUUACUCGACGGACCUUAUUAAUGAGUAUGGUCCAACACUUCAAAAAGCCCAUGAAUUCAUUAAAAAUUCACAGGUUAUUGAAAACCAUCCUGACAGCAAAGCUUAUUACCGGCAUAGAUCCAAAGGUUCAUGGACACUUUCAACAGCUGAUAAUGGUUGGUCUGUAUCGGAUUGUACUGCAGAAGCACUUAAGGCAUUAUUGUUGUUGUCAAAGAUCUCUCCUAAUCUUGUGGGUGAUCCAAUAAAAGGAGAACCGUUGUACGAUGCGGUGGAUUGCUUAAUUUCUUUCAUGAACAAAGAUGGUACCUUUUCUACAUACGAGUGUAAGAGAACUACUUCAUUGAUUGAGGUUCUCAACCCUUCGGAGACUUUUCUGAAUAUUAUGGUUGAUUAUCCAUCCGUAGAAUGCACAUCAUCGGUCCUUGAAGCCUUGAUUAUGUUUCGAGAAAUGCACCCAGGGUACCGCAACGAAGAGAUAGGAAUAUGCAUAAAAAAUGCGUCCAUGUUUAUUGAGAAUAGUCAACGAAAGGAUGGCUCAUGGUAUGGCACAUGGGGUAUAUGUUUCACCUAUGGAACAUUAUUUGCUGUAAAGGGAUUAAUAGCUUCUGGAAGAACUUACGAAAAUAGUUCCUUCAUUCGCAAUGCAUGCAACUUUCUGUUGUCAAAGCAGCUAAGUACAGGUGGAUGGGGAGAGACUUAUCUUUCUAGUGAAACUGAGUCUUAUGUGGAUGCCGCUAGUCCUCAUGCAGUCAACACUGCUUGGGCAAUGUUAGCUUUAAUUUAUGCAGGGCAGGUUGAGCGAGAUCCCCCGCCACUAUAUCAUGCUGCAAAAGAAUUGGUCAAUAUGCAACUAGACACAGGCGAGUUUCCCCAGCAAGAACACAUUGGAUGCUUCAACUGCUCCUUUUACUACAAUUAUGGCAACUACAGCAAUUUAUUCCCCAUCUGGGCUCUUGGGGAGCUUCGUCGUCGACUGCGUGAGAAGAACUGA